rnacentral:rRNA from 1 species
UCAGAUUGAACGCUGGCGGCAUGCCUUACACAUGCAAGUCGGACGGCAGCGCGGGCUUCGGCCUGGCGGCGAGUGGCGAACGGGUGAGUAAUACAUCGGAACGUAUCCUGGAGUGGGGGAUAGCCCGGCGAAAGCCGGAUUAAUACCGCAUACGCUCUGAGGAGGAAAGCGGGGGACCUUCGGGCCUCGCGCUCAAGGGGCGGCCGAUGGCGGAUUAGGUAGUUGGUGGGGUAAAGGCCUACCAAGCCGACGAUCCGUAGCUGGUCUGAGAGGACGACCAGCCACACUGGGACUGAGACACGGCCCAGACUCCUACGGGAGGCAGCAGUGGGGAAUUUUGGACAAUGGGGGCAACCCUGAUCCAGCAAUGCCGCGUGUGUGAAGAAGGCCUUCGGGUUGUAAAGCACUUUUGUCCGGAAAGAAAUCAUCGG